rnacentral:lncRNA from 1 species
UUGUCUUCUAUAUAUGCUUGCGUUAACUUCCAUUACUUUUAGCAUGUGGGAUAUAUGAUGUGAGGGAACGAACAUGCCAUAAGGCACAUGUGAGUCCCCUAGGUGCUCUUUGUAUUACUAUUCUUCUUAUUCGGCUGGUUUUGAUCUUCUUAAUCCUUUUCGCAUUAAUACCGUUUGUAUUUUGUGAGAUCUUUCUCUGACCACAUGCAAGCUCCACCAUCCCAUUCUUUGUUAUUUUAUUUCCAACUUUAAGACGAUUUUAUCUUUCAAACCAAAAGUACAAUUUAUGAUAUGUUUUCAUAUUGUGAUUAUGACGAGGAGAACUUCAAAACAACACCACUUUUGAAUGUGUUUCAGCAUGUUCUAAAAAAAUCAAAUUCUAAAACACAAUGAAACACUAUUAAAAGUACACAAAACUAUGAGAUAUUUUGUCAAACACGAUAAAAGUUCAAUGUUUUGUUUGAAUGACUCAUUAUUGAAUUGUUGCAUCAAAUUAUUAAAUUUAUAUGAAACAAAUUUGAAGCAUAUGUGAGUUUAUAGGAUACAUGUUUUAUUAAUCUAUGUACACAAAGCCAAUGUUUUUAACAAAAAGAAAGAUUAUGCUUAUACUUCAUUAUGCAUCCUGUACAUAUAUAAUGGUAUAGAUAAUUCCAUUGCGUGUGAAUGAACGGCGCAUUGAGAAAAUGGCGCCAGAACAAAACCGUGGAAGCGAACUCCUUUUGCUUAUAUCACAAAUUUUGUGCCAUGGUGCAAAAAGAGAGCAAGUGCAUGUGUAUGUUCAGAUAUGAUGAAACCAAAUAAGGUUGCAACUAACAUGUUAUAUUGACUUUCAGUUAUGAACCUUAUGACUCUGAUGCUCUCAAGUUUGGCAACAAUUUGUACUAAGGGCCUGUUCGGCAAUGCUCCGGCUCUCAACUUCCAUUAACUCCGCAGUGAAGUUGAGCUGAACGAGCAAACUCCGUGGAGCUCAAAUCAAGAAGCUGGCUAUUCUGUUAGUGCAAAUUUGAAGGAGUUGGGGAAGCUGCCUUUUCCUGGCUCUGUGAAAACGAAGAAGCUGGAGUUGAAUGUUAUUAUGAUGUGCUGCCACCGACAAGUGAGCUAUGCGUACCGAUUCGCUUUGUCUCUCCCCCAACAGCUCAUAUCUCCUCUCCGUAGCCUCUCCAUGACGGUGGUUGUACAUUUUUUUAAUUAGAAGAAAGGUGCCAUUGUAUGGCUACUGAGCUGGGCUUUGCUCCCUUCCCUCCCAAACGGGCUUGAGCCCAUCUAAAUGGGUUGUCAACCGAUGCCAACGAUGAGAAGCAUGAGGUGUGCAGCCGAACGUUUUUCCAUCACUGUGAGAAGCUAGAAAACCCAAGUGAGGAGUAGAAGUUGAGGAGUUUGGGAAGCUAGGCUGUUGCCGAACAGGCCCUAAAGAUAGGUUAAGUGUCUGAAGCUAUACUGGAAGAUGUAAUUAUUUCUCUCAGUUCGUAGUGCUUGACUAGAUGGCGUCUUCCUACGUAUAGCUUGAAUAGAUGCAACCAUGGACGUUUAAUUAUAAUAUGCAACGCUAGAUAGAUUUCUUUGUCUUGUCCUCGCUUACUUUAUUGGUCCGGUGUAGAUUAGUAGUAUUCUACCACAUGAAAAUAUAUGCACGUCUAUUAUUUUUAUGUUCUUGUGACAAUCAUAGAACCUUUACUGGAAUGCAUCAUUUAUGUGAACAUUAUAAUGCUUAUUUGUAAUGAUGAUCUAAUUCCGCAUGAUGAUUACGAAAAGGUAGCAGCUCACAUCAUAGCCAUUUAUGUUGCUUCUAUUAGGUGUGGCUGAUAAAGACGGGGGGCGAUUUGGGCACGCGAAAGUCCCUUAAAAUCGAGACAAAUCCUACGUUGGAACCAUCUCGAUGUUCUUCGCCAGCAUCGUCGCAUCGAGCCUAUGUAUAUACUAUUGGAUCUUGAAGCCCCAAGUCAUUUUCUGUUAUCAUGAUUAUUUAGCAAAUGCAGAAAACAUUGUCGAUUAUAUUAUAUGUAUAUUGUUGGGUAGUAGUUUUUCCCACUAGAUCUGAAUAUUAGGAAGGAUAUAUCUUGUAGCUGGUCAGAUUCAGAACUCAUGUCGUGAUUUCUUAAGGGCCUAAUGAUUGUUGUUGUUUUUUCCUUUCAAAAAUUGAAACUCCUAGGUGAUUAUCGUAACUAUCAUAAUUGUACAAGCAAGAUUAUCAGAAUAACUAAGCAACUAUUUUAGACUCACUUUCUAUGCCAAGCUGGAAAAUUGACAUGCCUUAUGAUUAUAUAUGCAACCAGUAUUUUUUUUGAAAUGCCAGUGGCAACGCAUCCGUUACAUGUUUUGAGACCUAAGGCGUGAAAUUUUCAUACUAACUACAUAUAUUGUUUGUGCAG